rnacentral:lncRNA from 1 species
CACGUUGUUUCCUCCAUGAGUAUUUACCGUCUUCUUGUACAUCCAAUCUCCAAAUGACUACACCAAGAUCAUCAUCAUCAUCAUUGUUGCUGUUUUCUGGGAUCAGGUACAAAGUAUCUUGUGAAACUGUAGCGGUGAGCAAUGCAGUAGAAAUUUCAAUGAAAGUUGGAGGUAUAUCAAGGCAGAAAGGAUUCAACACACCCACCAACUUCUCAAUAAAGGC